GACGAACGCUGGCGGCGUGCUUAACACAUGCAAGUCGAACGGAAAGGCCCUGCUUUUGUGGGGUGCUCGAGUGGCGAACGGGUGAGUAACACGUGAGUAACCUGCCCUUGACUUUGGGAUAACUUCAGGAAACUGGGGCUAAUACCGGAUAGGAGCUCCUGCUGCAUGGUGGGGGUUGGAAAGUUUCGGCGGUUGGGGAUGGACUCGCGGCUUAUCAGCUUGUUGGUGGGGUAGUGGCUUACCAAGGCUUUGACGGGUAGCCGGCCUGAGAGGGUGACCGGCCACAUUGGGACUGAGAUAGGGCCCAGACUCCUACGGGAGGCAGCAGUGGGGAAUAUUGCACAAGGGGCGGAAGCCUGAUGCAGCAACGCCGCGUGCGGGAUGACGGCCUUCGGGUUGUAAACCGCUUUCGCCUGUGACGAAGCGUGAGUGACGGUAAUGGGUAAAGAAGCACCGGCUAACUACGUG
rnacentral:rRNA from 1 species